rnacentral:rRNA from 1 species
AUUGAACGCUGGCGGCAUGCUUUACACAUGCGAGUCGAACGGCAGCGCGGGCUUCGGCCUGGCGGCGAGUGGCGAACGGGUGAGUAAUGCAUCGGAACGUGCCCAGUAGUGGGGGAUAGCCCGGCGAAAGCCGGAUUAAUACCGCAUACGACCUGAGGGUGAAAGCCGGGGACCGAAAGGCCUCGCGCUAUUGGAGCGGCCGAUGUCGGAUUAGCUAGUUGGUGGGGUAAAGGCUUACCAAGGCGACGAUCCGUAGCUGGUCUGAGAGGACGACCAGCCACACUGGGACUGAGACACGGCCCAGACUCCUACGGGAGGCAGCAGUGGGGAAUUUUGGACAAUGGGGGCAACCCUGAUCCAGCCAUGCCGCGUGCGGGAAGAAGGCCUUCGGGUUGUAAACCGCUUUUGUUCGGGAAGAAAUCCUCUGGGCUAAUACCCCGGGGGGAUGACGGUACCGGAAGAAUAAGCACCGGCUAACUACGUG